CCCUUAGAUGUCCUGGGCCGCACGCGCGCUACACUGAGUGUCUGAGAUACGAGUCUGCCUGGUCCGGCAAGGUCUAGGUAAUCGCUAAAAGACACAUCAUGCUUGGGAUAGAUUAUUGCAAAUAUUAACCUUGAACGAGGAAUUCCUAGUAAGCGCAAGUCAACAGCUUGCGUUGAUUACGUCCCUGCCCUUUGUACACACCGCCCGUCGCUACUACUGAUUGGAUGUUUAAGCGAGGUUCUCGAACUGCUAGCGACUUAGCUUCGGUGAGGUCGCAGUGUGGGAAGUGAACCUAGCUUUGGUGUCUAGAGGAAGUAAAAGUCGUAACA
rnacentral:rRNA from 1 species